rnacentral:rRNA from 1 species
AUUGAACGCUGGCGGCAUGCCUUACACAUGCAAGUCGAACGGCAGCACGGGAGCAAUCCUGGUGGCGAGUGGCGAACGGGUGAGUAAUGUAUCGGAACGUGCCCAGUCGUGGGGGAUAACGUAGCGAAAGCUACGCUAAUACCGCAUACGAUCUAUGGAUGAAAGCGGGGGAUCGCAAGACCUCGCGCGAUUGGAGCGGCCGAUAUCAGAUUAGGUAGUUGGUGGGGUAAAGGCCCACCAAGCCUGCGAUCUGUAGCUGGUCUGAGAGGACGAACGGCCACCCUGGAACUGAGACACGGUCGAGACUCCUACGGGAGGCAGCAGGGGGAAAUUUUGGACAAUGGGCGCAAGCCUGAUUCAGCAAUGCCGCGUGCAGGAUGAAGGCCUUCGGGUUGUAAACUGCUUUUGUACGGAACGAAACGGCUUUUUCUAAUACAGAGAGCUAAUGACGGUACCGUAAGAAUAAGCACCGGCUAACUACGUGCCAGCAGCCGCCGUAA